AGAAAAGCUAGGAAUGAUGGGUUGCACUUUCUUAUUUGACACCUUUCUUUGUUUCUCUUUUUUUAAUCAGGGAAAAGAAUCAUUUCCAGAAUUCUAAAGGAAAGAAUGGGAUCACAUGAUCAUCUCUAGCCACAGGAAGGCUAGGAACAAAUCUGCCAUUGUCAGCCAUGAUGAUCCAAGAUCAAAGGAUUCCACAAAGUCUGGAGAUGGCAAAAACUGUCCAGGGCACAGGAACAACUGAAAAACAACAAGAAAAUUAUAUUUAUUUCACUGGAACUGACAACACAUUACAAGACCAUGUGGAGACAAGACCUCAGACUGGGGCCCUGACUACUCUACGCACAUUUGACUUUAAUCUUUCAGCCAACCCAUUUUGAAUUCUUAAAGGUAAGUUAGUUAAUUAUUUCUGUCAAGCUAGUCAAAAUCUGCCUCUGCAUAGCUCA
rnacentral:lncRNA from 1 species